UUUUCCUAGAACAAAUUCAUGGGUUGGGAUUGCAGGGUCAAAGAUAAGCACAUUUUUAAGGCUUUUGAUAAGUGUCACUAAACAAACCUGCAGGAGAGUUGUACCAGUCUGUCUGUCCUCUGGACUGGCUUUCUUUUCUUUUUCAAUCUUUAUUAUUAUUAUUAUGAAAAUAACUCACGUUUUUAUGAGAUAACUGGAAAUUACUGAACAUAAAAUAUUAAAGAAUUAUUAUUUUUUUAGGUGUGAUCAUGGUUUGUGGCUGCUCUAAAAAAAUAGUCCUUGGGACUUGCCUGGUGGCACAGUGGUUAAGGCUCCGUGCUCCCAAUGCAGGGGGCCCAGGUUUGAUCCCUGGUCGGGGAAGUAGAUCUCACAUGCAUGCCGCAGCUAAGGAGCCUGCGUGCUGCAACUAAGACCCGGCGCAACCAAAUAAAUAAAUAAAUGUUAAAAAAAAUCUUAAUAAAAAAUAGUCCUUAUCUUUUAGAGACACACAAAGUUGUUUUUUUUUUUUUUUUGUGCAACUUGCUUUAUUGCAAUAUUCAUUUUAUUGCAGUGGUCUGGAACCAAACCCACAAUAUCUCCAAGACAGGAAGGAGCUACCAAGACACGCACCAUAUUCCUACCAGCUUUUAAACUUCACCUUACGUUGCAGACGGCUGGCCACUUCCACCCUCUCAUUCCUUACCAGCUUCGCGGUGUUGCCUGUAUCAAAGAACCAUCAUUUAUUUAUCGGAUCCUCUGGUGGUGGCCAGCUGACAUGUCUCCACGGUUCUGCUCUUGAGAACAGUGGCGCCCUGAGCAUGCUUGUGUGUAACAUACCUUUGCGCACGUGAGCAACUCCACACCUGUCUUUCUAGAGGGAAUCACUAGGUCAAAGGGUGUGCAUGCUUAACAUUUUAAUAGAAUGGCUCAGUUGCCCUCCUGCUGGACUUUGUAUGUCUAGUGCCUGUCAUUCUCUCCAAGUGCAUUUCUGAGGACUAUUGUCAUUUGGUGUCUGCAGGAGUCAGAGCCGGAAGGGGCCUCCAUGAUCCUCUGAUCUCCUUCCAGGGCAGCCGCACCUGAGCCCCGGGGAAGGGCGGGACCCCCCUGCCCACAGCGCCCUUGGCCAGGGUCGGGUAGAGCAGUGGUUAUGGAUAUGCUGCCCACUUCUGAAUUAGGCCUCACCAUUUACUGGUUGUACGACCUUGAAUGAUGUCCUCGACCUUCCUGGGCCUCAGUUUCCUCACCUGUAAGCUGGGAGUAAUACUAACCCCAGGCAGCAAUCGGGGGGGGGUGGGCAGUAAGCUGCAUUUGGACCAUUUGGAGUGGCUUCGGGGGACUGCUGGAGGAUGGGAGGUUAAUAAGGACCCCCAUCAGGCACCACUUGGCACUGCCAGAACUGCCUUCGAAUGGUGGUAGUUGGGUUUAGUGAGAUUAUAUGUGAUGGAACCUAGUAUCCAGCAUAGAGCACACUGACAGCGCUCCAUGACCACGGAACCCCGAGAGCCGACGUGACGGCUGACAGGGGCUAGACCAGGACCAGGGAGACCCACCUUCCUGAGAGACUGGCCAGGACAGUGAGGCCCGACCGACAGGAAAAGAGGGGACCCAAGGAAGAGGGCCGACCUGGCCCCCCGCUUGUUAUUGUAAAUAAAGUUUUAUUGGAACACAGCCUCACCCA